rnacentral:rRNA from 1 species
CUGCCCAAUGAUAUAUUUAAAUGGCCGCGGUAUUUUGACCGUGCAAAGGUAGCAUAAUCAUUAGUCUAUUAAUUGUGGACUUGUAUGAAUGGUUUGACGAAGUAUUAACUGUCUCUUUUAUAAUAUUAUAAUUUAAAUUUUUAGUUAAAAUGCUGAAAUUUUUUUAUGGGACGAGAAGACCCUAUAGAUCUUUAUAUAUGUAUAUAUUUAUUAUUUUUAGUUUAUUUUUUGUUAAUUAUUUUGUAUGUUUUGUUGGGGUGAUAUUGAGAUAUAUUUAACUCUUGAUUUUUUUUUUACAUUGAUUUUUGAUUUUUUGACCUUUUAUUAUUGUUAUAAGAUAUAGAUACCUUAGGGAUAACAGCGUAAUUUUUCUUGAGAGUUCAUAUUGACAGAAUAAGUUUGCGACCUCGAUGUUGGAUUAAGAUUAUUAUUAGGUGUAGGUGCUUAAU